rnacentral:rRNA from 1 species
UAGGGAAUCUUCGGCAAUGGGGGCAACCCUGACCGAGCAACGCCGCGUGAGUGAAGAAGGUUUUCGGAUCGUAAAGCUCUGUUGUAAGAGAAGAACGAGUGUGAGAGUGGAAAGUUCACACUGUGACGGUAACUUACCAGAAAGGGACGGCUAACUACGUGCCAGCAGCCGCGGUAAUACGUAGGUCCCGAGCGUUAUCCGGAUUUAUUGGGCGUAAAGCGAGCGCAGGCGGUUAGAUAAGUCUGAAGUUAAAGGCUGUGGCUUAACCAUAGUACGCUUUGGAAACUGUUUAACUUGAGUGCAGAAGGGGAGAGUGGAAUUCCAUGUGUAGCGGUGAAAUGCGUAGAUAUAUGGAGGAACACCGGUGGCGAAAGCGGCUCUCUGGUCUGUAACUGACGCUGAGGCUCGAAAGCGUGGGGAGCAAACAGGAUUAGAUACCCUGGUAGUCCACGCCGUAAACGAUGAGUGCUAGGUGUUGGGUCCUUUCCGGGGCUCAGUGCCGCAGCUAACGCAUUAAGCACUCCGCCUGGGGAGUACGACCGCAAGGUUG